AAAUUGCGAUAAGUAUUGUGAAUUGCAGAAUUCAGUGAAUCAUCGAAUCUUUGAACGCACAUUGCGCCCGCCAGUAUUCUGGCGGGCAUGCCUGUUCGAGCGUCAUUUCAACCAUCAAGCCCCCGGCUUGUGUUGGGGACCUGCGGCUGCCCGCAGGCCCUGAAAAACAGUGGCGGGCUCGCUGUCACACCGAGCGUAGUAGCAUACAUUCUCGCUCAGGGCGUGCUGCGGGUUCCGGCCGUUAAACGACCUUCAUAACCCAAGGUUGACCUCGGAUCAGGUAGGAAGACCCGCUGAACUUAAGC
rnacentral:misc_RNA from 1 species